GAUGAAGAACGUAGUGAAAUGCGAUAAGUAGUGUGAAUUGCAGAAUUCAGUGAAUCAUCGAAUCUUUGAACGCACAUUGCGCCCUUUGGUAUUCCUUAGGGCAUGCCUGUUCGAGCGUCAUUUAAACCUUCAAGCUAAGCUUGGUGUUGGGUGACUGUCCGCUUCACGGCGGACUCGCCUCAAAAUUAUUCGCGGCCGGUACAUUGGCUUCGAGCGCAGCAGAAACGCGAACUCGGGCCCGUCGUAUUGGCUCCCAGAAGCUAUCUUCACAAUUUUGACCUCGGAUCAGGUAGGGAUACCCGCUGAACUUAAGCAUAUCAAUAAGCGGAGGA
rnacentral:misc_RNA from 1 species